rnacentral:rRNA from 1 species
GACGAACGCUGGCGGCGUGCUUAACACAUGCAAGUCGAACGGGAUUUAGUAGACAGAAGCCUCGGCUAAAGAUUACUAAUGAGAGUGGCGAACGGGUGGGUAACGCGUGAGCAACCUGCCUAUGACAGUGGGAUAGCCUCGGGAAACCGGGAUUAAUACCGCAUAAAAUCGUAGAAACACAUGUUUUAACGGUCAAAGAUUUAUCGGUCAUAGAUGGGCUCGCGUCUGAUUAGCUAGUUGGUGAGAUAACAGCCCACCAAGGCGACGAUCAGUAGCCGGUCUGAGAGGAUGAACGGCCACAUUGGAACUGAGACACGGUCCAAACUCCUACGGGAGGCAGCAGUGGGGAAUAUUGCACAAUGGGGGAAACCCUGAUGCAGCGACGCCGCGUGAACGAAGAAGGUAUUCGUAUCGUAAAGUUCUGUCCUAUGGGAAGAUAAUGACAGUACCAUAGAAGAAAGCUCCGGCUAAAUACGUG